CGGCUCGGUCACCUACUCUGGAGGGAAAUGUUUUUCACACAUUGAGUUUAGAAAUCGCCUGAUGAAGGUACUCCUUGUAUCCGAAACGUCGCGAAUUAGUUUCUUUAAAAUAAAGAAACCUAUCUCUAUUGACCAUCUCGCCUUUUUUCUGAGUUUUUGAACAUCAUGCUAGCUUAGCAUAACUAGCCUACUACCAUGAGCGGCCAUCGAGGGUAACACUCCUGGCCGACGAUCCAGCAUGGAAGGUUCCGUACGGGUUACCGGAACCCUACCCUCCCACCGAUGAGCCAACGUGAUGUCCACCUGCCGCAGUCCCAACCCCACCGCAUGGAACGCAACUGCCCGACGGCGACGGGGAGCUACCGCCGCGGCCGGCUAGCACGUGGUGAUGGACGCCACCACGGCCUCUGGUACCGGAGCUCCGCCCGGACCUCCAGCUGCGUUCGGGCCUGGCGCGGCCGGUCGAUCAUCAGAUGCGGGCGGCCAUCUGAUGUACACGGCCCUUCCCUUGCCUCCACACACCCUACGCAAGUCAACAGAGUACCCGAUUUGCGGGAAGUUCAUGAACCACCUGAGGCCACACCUGACGGGAUAUCACCAAGUGAGGAACGUGGAGGAGACAAUUCUGCUUGUCAGCUGGUCCAGUGGACGGGUUACAGGUAAACUGAACUGCCGUGUUUGUGACAAGGUGGGCCUGUCCCGCCUGGACAGACACCUGGCGGACCUCCACCAACAAAACAACAUGCUACCUUUAUUGAUCCACAUAGGAAAUAUCCAUGACGCAGCAGAACACAAUGGACAUCAAUAAAAGAUCUUUAAUGAGGUCGAUGAGCUGAUGCUACUCUGCAAGCAGCAGCUUAUUGUGGUGAAGCUUCGGGAGCUGAGGGCAACAAGCCCAACUUUCCCCAUGGUCUCCAAGUUGGAUGUACCCCGCUCAACCCCCAAGCGCUCUCCAUUGGCCCCUCCCCCACCUUCUCCAGGACCAGUUGCCGCUGGAUUCCUGGCUUCCUCCCCAUCCACCCCUGCCCCCAUGCCUAUCCAUCCAGUGGAUAGCCCUUCCACUCUC
rnacentral:lncRNA from 1 species